rnacentral:rRNA from 1 species
AUUGAACGCUGGCGGCAGGCCUAACACAUGCAAGUCGAACGAGUGGCGGACGGGUGAGUAAUGUCUCGGAAAGUGCCCGAUGGAGGGGGAUAACUACUGGAAACAGUAGCUAAUACCGCAUACCAUCGGAUGGGCCGAGAUGGGUGUGGCUAGUAGGUGGGGUAAAGGCUCACCAAGGCCACGAUCCGUAGCUGGUUUUAGAGGAGGACAAGCCACACGGGAACUGGGAUACGGCCCAGACUCCGACGGGAGGCAGCAGGGGGGAAUAUUGGACAAUGGGCGAAAGCCUGAUGCAGCCAUGCCGCGUGUAUGAAGAAGGCCUUCGGGUUGUAAAGUACUUUUAGCAGGUAAGCGUUAUUUGCAGAAUAAGCACCGGCUAACUACGUGCCAGCAGCCGCGGUAAUUC